CAAGCGAAAUGGAAGAAAAAGGGCAAAACAAUCAUUUUGUGAUGGUGCACGGAUCGUGCCACGGAGCCUGGUGCUGGUACAAGGCCAAGCCACGGCUCGAGUCCUUGGGCCACAAGGUCACGGUCCUCGAUCUCUUGGCCUCAGGGCUCAACAGGAAGACGUUGGACCAAGUUGGCUCGUUUCGCGAGUAUUCUGAGCCUUUGUUGCAGUUCAUGGCAUCUAUUGAUGAAAAUGUGAUUCUUGUAGGGCACAGCUUUGGUGGAAUGAGCAUAGCUCUUGCUGCAGAAAAAUUAUCUGAAAAAAUCUCCGUGGCUGGUCUUUGUGACCGAUACAUGACCGACACCAGCACCGGCCGCGUAUGCUUGGAACGGUAUGAAACCAUAUAGAAGAUUUGUACAAACUUUAUGUAUGGUAAAAUAUUCUCACACAAUUCUCUCUAAAAGCACUAACUUUUGGGGUCUAUAUUCUAAAAUUUACUUUAAUUUCUAUUCUAUAGGAUAAUUCAUGACACACUUUAAUUUCGAUUUAUUGAAGGGCUAUUUUGUAUUUUUCAUAUAUAAGAACAAGAAAAACAGAGUGUUUUAUAUAAAAGGUAAGUGUAAAAAUGUCAUUGAGCAAUCACUUCCUGCAAAAGUUCAUUCAUUACACUUUUUUCCACUGUAAACUUUUAUAAUUACAAUUUAACCAACUAACGACAAAAACAAUAUAUAAUUUUUUUGCAUGAUUUAGAUAGUUUGCGAAGCCAUUAGAGUAUCUCUAUUAAUAAAUGCCAUUUUAUCAAUUUUUGAAAUAGUACUCUAUUCAUUUAGUGUUAUCUUAGCAUAAUUAUUCAUUUUUAACGAUUUGAUAAAAAAACAUUAUACUUUAAUAAAUUUAAAAACGAAUGUAAGAUUUUGUAUUUCCUCGUUGGUCUUCUUUUUUUUUUUUUUUCUUUUUUUUCUUAUAACUAGUAAUUUUCUAAAGGGCAAGUGAGGGUCACACAAACUACCAUCGCUGAGAUAACGGUUUGGAUCUCGGGAGGCACUGAAAAACCCACUAACAUCAUUUGUUCGGCCCCAAGUUCUUGGCAACAUAUCUGUACCAAUUAUGCUCCAUUGAUGUAAGCUCUCUCUCUCUCUCUCUCAUUUAUUGUAAUGGUGACAUGUGGUAUCACGGUUUGAUAAUUUAUAAAAUUAGAUAUAUUUUAUAAUUUUGUACAUGAAUUAUUUUAUAUUCGCAUAAGAUAUGAGUCUCAUACCUAACUAAAUUCUAAUUGAAGCGAUAGUGUGGAGUUUAUUACCUCUUGUGAAUAUGGAACCACUAUUUAAUAAUUAAAUUUAUAACAACAUGAACUACAUUAGUUGAACAAUUAUCACAUUAGCAUAAUGAAAUCCAUUAUUCUUAUACCACAAUAAGCCUGUUUGUUAGCACUUAUUUAUACUUUCAUUUGCAAAAUAAGAUCCAUUAAUACUCUUAUACUCCAGUGGACCUAAGUAUAGUUAUAUUGUAGUAUCUAAUCUACUCUUAACGAAUUGAGGAAAGGAAAAUCGCUAAGCGAUAAGGGUGCAACCACAAAGGGUCAAAUACAAAUUACAACAAAUGAGCCAUCUACACCCAAACUCGCACUUGGUGAGACUUGAACCCCCCACUAGGGGUGAUGCCAUAUGGACUACAAGCCAUGACUACUUAUUUAGAUUAGUUGCUUAAAGACAUUGAGAAAUGGUGUUGGUAGCAAUUUUAAAUAAUUACUUAUUUAGUUUUCUAAGUUUAUUUAACCUAAAAACGAGAUAUUUUUUAAUCCAUGAUUUAUAGAUUUUAUGAAGUUUUUAAAAUUUUAAAAUAUUUAUGACCAAUAGAGCUCAUAUUAUUUUUACUUCAUUACACAGACACUCUGAUAGAAAAUGUGUAAAACUUUGAAGGACAAUAUUGCAAAUAUUUCACUAAGUCCUUUAAAUAAUCAUCUCAAAAAUAAUAAUUUAAAAAAGACCACACAGGAAUCGUUAUAUUAUCGGACAAUUAUACCACACGUUAAUAAUAAAGUGACGUGUUAUCACUGUUGUAGUGAAUUCAAAAUGUUAGUAAUUUUAUUUUAUUUUUGGUAGGAUCUCAGCCUAGCAACAAUUCUUACGAGGCCAAGUUCGGUAUUUCAAGAGACUUGGCAACGGCUGAAAAAUUAUCUGAUGAAGAUAUGGAUCGGUGAAGCGGCGUUUAUAUUGUGUGCAACGAUGACAUGAAUUAUAAAGAUUUUCAGCGUUGGAUGGCUGAAAAAUGGAGGAGUGAAUGAGAUUAUGGAAAUCCACGCUGCAGAUCACAUGUCAUGUUUUCGGAAGCCAGAUGAACUUGCCAAUGUCUCUUGAAAAAUCCAAUAAAUAUAACUAGGAUUUAAUGCCUAGAAUUCAUCUCUACUUUUGGCUGAUGAUUUGGAUGCAAAAAAUAAAAUAAAAUAAAAACUAGAAAACUUUUGACCUAUCGAAAGCUUCAAAAGCAAAAUGUAUAAUUCUUUUUUUAGGUUUCAAUCAAA
rnacentral:lncRNA from 1 species